ensembl:lncRNA
AGGAUGCCUCCUCCCAACUGCGUCGUUGAGGACGGUGCGAGGCUGGGAUGGAUGAGAGGGCCACCGAGCACGAGUCUGACUGAGGGAGCGCGGCCCUCUGUCUCAGAAAGCCCUUGGCCUGAGAGGGGGGCACAGCCGCCUGGCGCCGGCGCCCACCGGCAGACCACUCCCCAACCCCGGAAACUAUUUCUGCAGCUUCCGGCUUUGGUUUCCCUUAGUCCGCUCCCACCUCUGACGUGAGUCUGACGGGCAGAGCCUGUGAGAGGCCGCACAAGAGCAGGGUCUGCAUCUCUCCCGGCCCCACUAAGGAGAACAGAAGUGGCCGGAAGGAGUCGGGAGUCCCAUAGUUUCCUCUGCUUACUCUGUAUCUUCAGAACCUAUGCUGUGCCUGGAAUGCCAUCGGCACUCAGGAAAGAGAGAGAAGGAAAGUGUCCAGGUCCUGCACACCGUCUCACCUCACAGUCUUAUCUUGGAGAGCAUUCCAAACCCCUCCUCUGAGGUCACCUUCAGUUGGGUCACCUACGACUGACGCGGGUGGCCUCUGUGUCUGAAGUGGGAGAGAGCCUGGAACCAGACGUCCUCAAAACAGUUGGGGAGCCCUUCAGCCUGCCACCCUCCUCCUGGAUCGGUCCAGAUCCCAAAGUAACAUCUACAAGAUCAAUUUAAAAUUUAACUCUGCUUUCAGAAGAAAGUCCAGCCAGUGGCAUAGCUUUGAGAUUCCAUCUGAUCUUUGCUGAUAUAUUUAGAACUGCUUUUACACACUUUUAAUUAGUGUAUACAUGCCAAGUUUUGUUUUGCCCCCCCUUAAUAUCACUUCUCAUAAAUAUUUCCCUGUACUAGCAUAAGAUCAUAUCUUUUUGAUUUGCAAUGGAAAAACUGUGUCACUGUUUUUUCCGUCACUCAAGCAUCUAUGGAGUUGAUCUUUUUGCCAGGAGUUCUCUCACUGGUGUUUGAAUACAAAAAGGAAUGUGAAAUAUGUCAUCUGAAAACUUCUGUUUAACUACUAAAAUGGCUCAGAUCUCAUUUGCUAUACACGUAAAGAUUAAAAUCAAUAGUAGUCAUGUAUCCCCCUGUUCUGCUUCAGAAAAAGGCAAGUGGAGGAACACCCCACCCUCACCCCAUCUUUGUCACACAUGCCCUUCCUCAAGGCUCUUGGCAUGGAAAGGAUUAGUAAACUAUGUCAAAGGCCAGGAGCCAAAAAUCACACCCUGUGCUAGCCAGGAAAACACUCCGCUCCCCAGGCCAUGCCCUCAUCCCACCAGCUCUGACACUCCAAGUGCCUGAAAUCAUGAGCAGGACAGUGAGUGCUUGGGUGGCCAACUCUCCCCUUCACGAUGUUUGCUUAAAUACUUACUGGACCAAGCUCAAAAAGGGUGCCUGUGAUUCCUCCUUCCAGCAUGUUGAGGCUGAAUCUUCUCCCAGACAGAUGUCAGCAGUAAUUUUACUGUAAAGAUGAAUCUUGAGCUUGGUGCAGACAUAGGCAAGAAGAAAUUUGACGUCACCACAUUCAACCCAGGAGCUGGAGGGGCAUCACUUAGUCAGAAGAAGUGGGAGACGGCGGACUGCACUGGAUCCUGGAGCCCACCUCCUGGAGAACAGCUGGUGUUAAUCCUUUAGAUGCUGGGUACCUGGGAGGGUCCCUGGAAAAGGGCUGCAGCAUCAGCAGUGGUUAUUGGGCCAUGGUCUGGAAGGAUGACUGGGUUUUAACACCCAGCACAGCCAUCACUGGGCAUAUUGACUGAACAUCUGGCUCAGGUGUAACUGAAGGUGUGGGCUCCCACAGGUGGCCCUCAUCUUCUUUCCAUGUCCCCACCCUGGAGCCAUCCUCAUACUAAGUCACUUCAGUUGUGUUCAACUCUUUGGAACCCUAUAGACUGCAGGCCACCAGGCUUCUCUGUUCAUGGGAUUCUCUAGGCAGGAAUACUGGACUAGGUUGCCAUGCCCUUCUCCAGGGGAUCUUCCUGACCCAGGGACUGAACCUGAGACUCUUAUGUCUCCUGCAUUGGCAGGUGGUUUCUUUACUACUACCACCACCUGGGAGCUCCUGGGGGGCCAUCCUCAGUGAUCCUGAUAUC